rnacentral:lncRNA from 1 species
CUUUACGACAACGGUCAGCUUCACAAUCGAUUGCACAAAGUCAACAAUCGAUUACUUAUCAGUUUUUGAAAAACAUUUUAGACACUGCCUCUUGAUAAUCGAUUGUUAUAUACUCACAAUCGAUUAUUUAAUAAAUUUGAAAAUCACUGGAAGUCAUUGCCUCAACACAAUCAAUUGUCAUUAGUUCACAAUCGAUUAUUUUGUGACUUUGAAAAAAACUGAAGUACACUGUCUCUUCACAAUCGAUUGUCAUUAGCUUCACAAUCGAUUAUUCUGAGUUUUGAAAAACUUUGAUGGACACUGCCUCAUCACAAUCGAUUG